AAAAAAAUACGUGUCUUAUAUUUUUUUUUUAUCUAACCGACGGACUAAUUAGAUUUUUAAUUUUGAUACCCUGGACACAACCCAAUUGUAAAAGAUCAUACUAAGAUUUUCAAAAUUGUAAUUUGUUAUUAUAAACUUGUUGUAAAAUAUUAUGCAAUUUCUUUUCUUUUUCAAAGAAACUCCUAGAUUAUGGGUGCAAGUAUCUAUACAUAUACCUGACAUUGGACAUACCUGCCACCCAAAAAUGUACAAUAUGCUAAUAACAUUUAAGUAUAAUAAAGAAUGUGUCUCGUCCAGCACAGCAUCGCUUACUACUAGACAAGUUGGUGGGACAAACGCCAUGCUAUUAAUUUAAAAAAAAAGAACUUAUAAAUUUAUAAUUGUUGUCUAAGUUGUACGUAAAAAUUUUAGUUGAAUUUAUUCCUUUUUUGUUUUAUGUGAUAAUAAACAUGUAUCAAUAAUACUGAGAUUUCGAUCUGAUAAGUAGAGCAUACUCCUAAAUAACUAUACCAUGUAAAUACAGAAAAUAUAAUAUAAUUAAGGACUCUCUAUAUAUUGAUGUUGGAAAGAAAAUGUUAUUGAUAUUACAAAAAAAUGUUUCCUAAAAUAUAAUUGUGAUGUUACAGUAUUUUCUUAUAAAAAACUAUAAAUUGAAGCGCAUAAACCUAUAUUUAUUGGAUUAGUUUUAAGAUGUAAACUUUAGUUUGGCUAUUUAGGGCUGGUUUCACAAUAUCUGAUUAAGUUGAUGAAAUCAAAUCGUCUUUAUUGUAGAUUCUAUAAUGCACCCGGUGAUAAUGUAGUGCUUCUAAUAUGCAGCUUCAGGGCAGGGAGUUGAAGGCGUUGGCGAUGUCCAAAGACACCGCCACGACGAUCUUACCCCUGGACACUGCAGUCCCCGUCAUGAGGUCCCUUAUGCGCAUGAUUGCGUCCACUGUGGAGCGCCCACUGCGGAAGCCGAACUGGCCAUCCGCGAGAUCCGGCCCAAUUCCAGACCAAAAUGCAGAUCUUAAAUAAUUAAAAUAAGUUCAGCUACGUCCCGCCGUUGAGGCAUACAAUAAUAAAAUACAAAAAAGAAUUUAAAACACAAUUAUUCAUAUUAAUCUCGAUACAUUAUUAAAAUAUUCCAAAUUAUGGUUGAUCUGAAAUUAAUUGACAUUUACAUAUUUAUACGCGGUACGCCUAUCCUAAGGAAAUGCAUUAAAAUAUUCGUCACUUAGACUAAUGAAAACUUACUCAGAUAUUAUGAAAUAGCCCUUAGGAUAAAUUCAAUGGCUUUUUAAUGAACUCUAUUCUUUACUUUUGUGAACUUUGAAGUAUGUUUUCCUUCAUAAAUAUUCUUUUUGUUAAAAAAGUUAAAUUUAUUGUCGUAAUAUAUUGAGAAUUUAUUUAUUUGAGACAUGAAUAUUCUAAUUUGAGAAAAUAAAAAAAUAAAAAAUAUGGAGUUGAUACUUUAAUGUUAAAACUAUUUUGCAUUAACAAGACAUUUUAGGUACUUUGUUAUGACGUAGAACUUUUUAACUUCUUACCUAAUUUGACAUGAGAAUGUCAAUUUUGACAUUUUGUACCGGGACGUCAUCAAUGUUUUGUAAUGGAAUUUUGUAUGGUUUUUGUAAAUUAUUUUUUAGGCUUAAUUGUUAGCUUUGUAUUUUCUGAUGUGAUAUUAAUUUUGAUUAUGUGUACUUGUUUUGUAUAUAGGUAUAUGUGUAAUGAAAUAAAUGCAUUAGUAUUGUGA